rnacentral:rRNA from 1 species
CAAGUCGAACGGGGUGCGGGGGCAACUCUGCAUUCAGUGGCGAACGGGUGAGUAAUGCAUCGGAACGUGUCCCGUAGUGGGGGAUAACGCCGCGAAAGCGGCGCUAAUACCGCAUACGCUCUGUGGAGGAAAGCAGGGACCUGAGAGGGCCUUGUGCUAGGGGGGCGGCCGAUGUCCGAUUAGCUAGUUGGUGGGGUAAUGGCUUACCAAGGCGACGAUCGGUAGCUGGUCUGAGAGGAUGAUCAGCCACACUGGGACUGAGACACGGCCCAGACUCCUACGGGAGGCAGCAGUGGGGAAUUUUGGACAAUGGGGGCAACCCUGAUCCAGCCAUGCCGCGUGCGGGAAGAAGGCCUUCGGGUUGUAAACCGCUUUUAGCCGGGAAGAAAAGGCGCGGGUUAAUACCCUUCGUUUUUGACGGUACCGGCGGAAUAAGCACCGGCUAACUACGUGCCAGCAGCCGCGGUAAUACGUAGGGUGCGAGCGUUAAUCGGAAUUACUGGGCGUAAAGCGUGCGCAGGCGGUUCGUUGUGUCGGCGGUGAAAGCCCCGGGCUUAACCUGGGAACGGCCGUUGAAACUGGCGAACUGGAGUGUGGCAGAGGGGGGUGGAAUUCCGCGUGUAGCAAUGAAAUGCGUAAAGAUGCGGAGGAACACCGAUGGCGAAAGCAGCCCCCUGGGCUAACACUGACGCUCAGGCACGAAAGCGUGGGGAGCAAACAGGAUUAGAUACCCUGUUAGUCCACGCCC